rnacentral:rRNA from 1 species
ACACAGGUGCUGCAUGGCUGUCGUCAGCUCGUGUCGUGAGAUGUUGGGUUAAGUCCCGCAACGAGCGCAACCCUUAUUGCUAGUUGCCAUCAGGUUUGGCUGGGCACUUUAGCGAAACUGCCGGUGAUAAGCCGGAGGAAGGUAGGGAUGACGUCAAGUCCUCAUGGCCCUUAUAGGCUGGGCUACACACGUACUACAAUGGCGGCGACAGAAGGCAGCGACGGAGUAAUCCUGAGCGAACCCUCAAAAGCCGCCUCAGUUCGGAUUGUCCUCUGCAACUCGAGGGCAUGAAGUCGGAAUCGCUAGUAAUCGUAGAUC